rnacentral:tRNA from 1 species
UGGCUGAGCGGUAAAGCGCUUGGCUUCCAAACAAAGGUCCUGGGUUGAAAUCCUAG